rnacentral:rRNA from 1 species
AACGAACGCUGGCGGCAUGCCUAACACAUGCAAGUCGAACGAGACCUUCGGGUCUAGUGGCGCACGGGUGCGUAACGCGUGGGAAUCUGCCCUUCGGUUGGGAAUAACUGAGAGAAAUUUCAGCUAAUACCUUAUAAUGUCUUCGGACCAAAGAUUUAUCGCCGAGGGAUGAGCCCGCGUAGGAUUAGGUAGUUGGUGGGGUAAUGGCCUACCAAGCCGACGAUCCUUAGCUGGUCUGAGAGGAUGAUCAGCCACACUGGGACUGAGACACGGCCCAGACUCCUACGGAAGGCAGCAGUGGGGAAUAUUGGACAAUGGGCGAAAGCCUGAUCCAGCAAUGCCGCGUGAGUGAUGAAGGCCUUAGGGUUGUAAAGCUCUUUUACCCGGGAUGAUAAUGACAGUACCGGGAGAAUAAGCUCCGGCUAACUCCGUG